rnacentral:rRNA from 1 species
UACGUAGGGUGCGAGCGUUAAUCGGAUUUACUGGGCGUAAAGCGAGCGCAGGUGGUUUAUUAAGUCUGGUGUAAAAGGCAGUGGCUCAACCAUUGUAUGCAUUGGAAACUGGUAGACUUGAGUGCAGGAGAGGAGAGUGGAAUUCCAUGUGUAGCGGUGAAAUGCGUAGAUAUAUGGAGGAACACCGGUGGCGAAAGCGGCUCUCUGGACUGUAACUGACACUGAGGCUCGAAAGCGUGGGGAGCAAACAGG